rnacentral:lncRNA from 1 species
AGGCCUGGCGUGACAAUCGGUCUGCGCGGGCGCAGUGGCGGCAGCCGCUGCACCCGCGUGGCUAGAAGCCCACGGUCUGCAGGCGAGUUGAGGUUUCAGGUCAUUCCAGCUUCGGCCGUGGGGCCCCGCUCAGACGCGCGCCUGUCUCCUGGUGAAAUCCUGGAGGCUGUCCUUUCCACCGUCCUGUCUGCACGAGGAGGACACAGGGGUCAGCUUCCUGGGAGAAGGGAGUCGUCCGGAUGGCUGGUCCCCGGAGGGAUGACUUACUGCAUGAACAUCGAAAUCAGAUGAACCCUGACGGCGACAGCGAUGGUAAUAGCGCCACUGGCGGGGGGGAUGGGGGGGUAGCGGGCAAAGCCCGUGGGGCAAAUGUCUUUCUUAAACCCUCCUCAUAAAUCUAAGAUCUCACUGUCACCCACGAGGGGACGGAGCCCGGGGCCUCGGGACCUGAGCUGGUUCUCUGGGUGAGAGGAGGAAGAGGCUUCCUGGGGGGCCGUGUGCCUUUGGCCCGCGUCCUUCACGGUGGCUCUGUCCUCCGGGGGCAGCUGAUCGAACGGGCCUUUCUGUGUGGACAUCACUUGUUCCCAGUGGAGCCCUGGGGGCUAAAAAUAACCAUGUGUUUUCUGUUUUAUCCAAAAAAGAGGAACUGUGCAGUGUGUUUCAUAACAUCUACUAUUUUUGAAAACCUGAAUUUUUUCCACUUUUUUUUAAAUGCCUUUGGGGCUGUCCUUGGAGGGAGAGGCUUUGGUGGAGGUUUCACCAGGGGUCCCUCUGUUUGGUCGUCCAGAUCCUCAGGAAAUGGCUGCAGGAGAAGGGAACUGUCCCCCCGCACACAUGGCCAAGGGGUGGACUUAACACAGGGGUCAUGGGAGGGGAGCCAGAUCUCAGGGGCACCUGAGACCUCAUAGCACAGGCUGGAGGGGAGAAGGGACCGGCCCAGGGGCUGGGCAGGCCUGUUCCGUGUACAGGGGGAGGCGUGCUGACCCCGGCCACAUGCUGCCUCCACGACAGCCAGGCCUCGUGGUCCAGGCUCAGCGUCCAUCUUUCCCCUGACCCCGCUCUCCCAGGUUGGGGCAAGGCCUGAUGCUCCUAAGAUGAGCCACGAGCCAUGAGCCCCCGGGUCCCGGUUGUUCUUGGGUUCCUCUGUUGUUGGCAACCAGGCUAAGAUGGUCAUCCUGGGGUCUGCUGGUGCUAGGGUGGCUCCCUGCCCUUCUCACUGAGACUCUGGAGCGUUAGGAAAUCAUGGAAAGAGCAAACACAGUGAAAGACACGUCGCCCGCAGCCCAGGAAGCUGGAAUGUGGGUGUGGCAUCCCUGAGACCACGCGGGUGUUUCCGGGUGAGCCAAGGGCAGAGGGACCAGGCGGGUGUGGGAGUGGCUGGAUGCCAAGAGGACCUGCCCACAGCUGCAACCCAAGGGCAGAGUGGGCCCUUCACACAUGACGUGGCUGCCAGCAUCUGCAGAGGUGAGCAGAGGCAUGGGGCGGAGCAGGAGGUGUUAGAAUGUGUGGCAAGAGCACGAUUCCUCUAGAGUCGGCAGUAAUUUGGAGACUGGAACAGGGACAGACUGACACCUGAUCUCAGUAGACAAGCCAGGAGCAGACCCUUACGGGAAGGCCGAGGCUGUGGCACCAAGCUUAUAGAAACCGUGAGGGAGGGCAGCUGUGCCUGGAGAGCAGAUUAAUUCUGGGCUGCAGGACUCUGGAUAAGUUAAAGAAAAAGUGCAUCUGCAUCUUUCUAAACCAACUGUGGGGAGUUCCCAUUGUGGCACAGUCAAGACAAAUCCGACUAGGAACCAUGAGGUUGCGGGUUCGAUCCUUGGCCUCGCUCUGUGGGUUAAGGAUCUGACAUUGCCGUGAGCUGUGGUGUAGGUUGCAGACACGGCUCGGAUCCUGCGUGGCUGUGGCUGUGGCGAAGGCUGGCGGCUACAGCUUGGAUUGGACCGCUAGCCUGUGAACCUCCAUGUGCCGUGGGUGCUGGCCUAAAAAGACAAAAGACAAAAAAAAAAAAAAAAA